CACCCUCAUGGAGCUCUCACAGCGCUUUGGAUUUUGGGCCGUCCGAUCGAGCUGAUGUGGAGCGAUCUCAGCCGGCCGUUCCGUCCAGGGCGUGAGGCCCUCCCGUGAACCCGCAUUUUAUCCAUGGGUCGCUAAAAAGCCCGCUCGGCCCGAUGUCGCGCUCCACCAAUCCCUCGCUUCCGGUAGGAAACCUACCCAAUCCCUGGCCGCCUCGCUCGUUCUCCUCCUCUCUCCUCGCGCCCGCAUCCCCGCCGCCGCACACCUCUCUUCCCUCUCCUUCUCUCCCUGCACCGCCGGUUGAGAGCGGGAGCGACGCCGCCGCAGGUGGAGCACGUCGUGAGCGCCGAGGAGCGUCGUUGCCGGUGGAGCCGCCGCCGGUGGAGCGCGUCGCGAGCGCGCGGAGAGGCGCCCCCGGUGGAGCCGACGCAGUGGAGCGCGUCACAGCGCGGGGGAGCGGCGCCGCUGGUGGAGCAUGGCGUGACCCGCUCGGCCACGACCCACCCGCGCCAGCCGGCUCCUGCUCUGGCUUCUUGGAUGAGCCGCGGCGGGAGCUAUUGUCGAGCAGGACGGAGCCGAAUCGAUGGGGAUGGGAUCUCGGAAGGAGCCGCAGGCACCACCGCAGGCGCGGAUCCUGCUCGGCUGCCGCCGCCUCCUCCACCGCUCACCCCCAGCUGCUGAUCUUCUCCAUGGAUCGAACAAGGAAAGGCUACAGGAAGCAGGGCGAUUUGGCCGGAGGAGAUGGAGCUCGACGUGUGGAAGCUAGCAGGAAAGACGGAGACUGAUGCGGGGACCCAGCCUCCACCUCCGCCCUCCUCCCCCCCGCUGCCGAUAUUGUGCCUCCGCAGCAGCAGCUCGCGGGUGAGACGUAACUCAGCAGUGCUUGGCUUCGGUUUGGCUGGAAAGACGCCGGCCAACAGCAGAACGGCCGGCCCUCCUCCGCCUAUUCAUUUUUUUCAGAGACCUACAGUUUCUGUUUUCUAGAGAUUUCCCCCAUUCGACUAUUGUGGAAACGUUUUGUCCACGCAAGGUAUCCAUCCUCUUUCUUGUAUUCUCUAAAUUGCUACAAUGUUUUCAGAACUUACAGGCCAUAACAUGGUGGAGACUCAUAACAGCAAUGUUUGUUUACAUAUAUUCAAUAAUAGUUCAAAGCUUGGAUGCAGUUUUAUGUAUAUUGUGAUGGGAAGGUGCUUCAGCGGACUAUUAGGUCCGUGUUGUUGUUGAACUCAUCUCGAAAUUGUUGGUCAUUUGAUAGAUGUGCAGGUGUGGUGCAUGUGAUGGUCGGAAAGACCUAUAGCCACAGACAUGCAUAUUUAUGCUUGGUGUAGCUUUCGGCUCACAGGUUAGUGUCUUCUUCAUUUCUUUCUCUAAUAUUGUGUUCAAAGUGGCUUCAUAUAUUUCUUGAGAGUGGUCAUCCUGAAGUUGAUCUACAUUUCCCACAAGAAGUAGCUCUGUUAUAUACAAAUAAAUCUCCUGUGAGUUGAUAGAAAAUCUUUAUAUCUCAUUGAGUUUUGUAAAAGCUCAUAGUGAAAUCUUGAAUUCUGUGUUGUUUAAAUAUAUCAGCUUGAGUUCAUAAAGGUUGAGCCAUAGAUAGAGAAAUUAAUCCAACUAUUGUGAGAGAUGGUUUCCUAAUAGCUUCUAUUUGAUUUACUUAAGGCCUGAACCACAUAUAAAGUUCAGAGAAAAUUUAAAGAUCAGUUGGAAUGACCGAAAAUGUUUAAAGUUCAUUGAUACAUUUAUUUUCUCUUCAUAGUCCAUUAAUAAGCUAACGGCCUUCGCUUUAUCUCGCUCCUGUUGCAGAAAUUAAUCGAGUAUGAAGCAAAUACAAUGAUAUUUUUCUGUACAGACCCCUGAUGUCUUCUUUCAUGUCCCAGACACUCCCAAGGAUAUUCAGGGUUCCUUAUAUAGAAUGUUAUUCAAUCUUAUGCUAAAAGCAUGGUCUUUCAAAGGCUGAGUACCAUCUUGAAUUAUAAGAAGAUAGCAAAGUUCGUGUGAAUUGCUAUUUAAUGCAUCUACAUGGUUCCUGUGAACAUGUCGAUGUCUGGAGCCCAGUCCAAUGAUUUAUGAAAUAGCAAAGAAAUAUGCUGAUAAGCUCAAGGGCACAACAUUAUCUGAGGGUAGUUCAAAGAAGAAACAAUCUGGUGGUUUGCAAUCAAAGACAACAGAUGAACUCCCAGUUUCAAAGCUUUAUAUUUGGGUAGGGCUUAUCAGAAAGGAGAGAAGCAUCUAUAUGUUGAUUCACUUUAUGUACAAGAGAUAGAUGUUGGAGAAGCGGCACCAAGAACAGUGGUUAGCGCACUUAUCAAUUACAUCCCUCUUUAAGAAAUGCAGAACCCGAAAGUGCGUGUGCUCUGCAAAUCUUAAACUAGCGGCAAUGUGCGGUGUAAAAUCGCAUGCUAUGGUUUUGGCUGCGUCCAAUGAGGACCAUACAAAGGUUGAAAUGCCUGGGUCUCCAAAAUCUGCAGUCGUGGGGAGGUGACCUUUGCUGGGCACUCGGGAAGAGCGUCGGAAGAUGAUGAGGAAGCAAUCCUAGACUAAAAACCAUGCUGCACUAGACAGGGGAAGGAUUAUUCCAUGGCCAUCCAUUGGCAGUGGGAGGCAGCGCAAAGCGAGUUGGAGGGAACACCAAAGGAGGCAUGCAAGAGGGCGACCAUCACAGGAGCACAUCAUAGCUCAGACCAUCAUCACAAGAACUGGAGUUCGAAACCCUGAAGCAAACUAGUAUCAAAUUAUCUGCCUAUUACCUUCUUCUGAUGAGGGGUUGUCGAUGAAGUGGGAUUGCUCUAUGUUAAGUCCACUAGCUGAGCGGUGAGGUGGAGUUCAGCCAUUGCUGAAAAUUAGUAAAGAAAUGGGACUAUAAUUUAUCAAGGGUGGUCAUUGCUCUAUUUGGUCUGGGAGCUAUAGGCUUUGUCUUUUCUCCUUUAAUACUUAUUAGUUAUGAUACAUAUUUAUUUUGUUAUUAGUUGUGAUCAAAUCAUGUUAGUAAAAUAAUGUCCAUUGCUUCAUUACAAUUCA